rnacentral:misc_RNA from 1 species
UAUUAGCUCGACCUAGGACUGGCUGCCAAAAAGCACGAUCCCUACGAUUUGGGAGAGGUUCUAGAUUAGUCCACUAGAUUCAGCGGCAACUGAAUAGUGUAUCGGGUUUGCGAGAUGACGUAGUUCCUUCCGCUCGAAGCGAAGGUGCUAUAGUUACGCCGAGCUAAUAGCC